ACAAGCGGUGGAGCAUUGUGCUUAAUUCGAAGCAACGCGAAGAACCUUAUCCUAGGUUUGACAUACACGGAUUAGCUCUAAGAAACUAGAGUGACACCUUCGGGUGGAACGUGAACAGGUGCUGCAUGGCUGUCGUCAGCUCGUGCUGUGAAGUGUCGGGUUAAGUCCCUUAACGAGCGCAACCCUUAUCGUUAGUUGCUAACAGGUAAUGCUGAGGACUCUAGCGAGACUGCCGGUGUUAAACCGGAGGAAGGUGGGGAUGACGUCAAGUCCGCAUGGCCUUUAUGCCUAGGGCUGCACACGUGCUACAAUGGCAAGUACAGAACGAAGCAAUACCGCAAGGUGGAGCAAAUCGCUAAAGCUUGCCCCAGUUCGGAUUGCAGGCUGCAACUCGCCUGCAUGAAGUUGGAAUCGCUAGUAAUCGCGGAUCAGCAUGCCGCGGUGAAUACGUUCCUGAGCCUUGUACACACCGCCCGUCAAGUCAUGGAAGCUGGUAGUGCCUUAAGUCGCCGAGAUUCAUCGGUGCCCACGGCAAGACUGGUGACUGGGACUAAGUCGUAACAAGGUA
rnacentral:rRNA from 1 species